CAACUUUCAGCAACGGAUCUCUUGGCUCUCGCAUCGAUGAAGAACGCAGCGAAAUGCGAUAAGUAAUGUGAAUUGCAGAAUUCAGUGAAUCAUCGAAUCUUUGAACGCACCUUGCGCCCUCUGGUAUUCCGGAGGCAUGCCUGUUUGAGUGUCAUU
rnacentral:rRNA from 1 species